rnacentral:rRNA from 1 species
AUGCGCCUCAACACUGAAGCCAUUGCCGGACUGCCGUGCUUAGAAGAAGCACUUGGCUGUUUUCGUGAUGCCGGUCUGCUCAGCUUUGUGACAGACAAAGAACACUGGAAUGAAGAAUUGUUGCUUCAAUUCUAUGCUACCCUCCACAUUCGCGGCUACAACAGAGAUAUCAAGACAUGGGUUCUCGAGUGGAUUACCGAAAAUGUUCAUCAUGAAGCUAAAGCACUGGAUAUCAUUGAGCUUACAUGCCUAGCCACUCUAGAAGAGCUAUAUGAACCUGUUUGUCAACUAUACUGCAAUGCACUGGAGAGCAUCUUCCAUAAGCCAGAACCCAACAUGAGCCAGAUGUUGAGCAUGAUGAAGCCUUUGCCAUCUGACACUGAAUAUCCAACAGAGUUCUUUGUUGACGACCUUGAGUAUCUGCCGUGCACAAUAUAUCAUAUUAUCAGGCGAACUCUAUGGCCUAUCAAAGGACAUUCAUCAGCGGCCAAGCUUGAAGGAGCCAUGAAGACUUUGGUCUUUUACAUCCUCAAUGGCAUCAGCUUCAAUUCCCAAGAAUUCUUCAUCAGGCAACUUGCUGCUUCUGGAUCUGACCUAUUUGGUCUAAAAUUCUAUGCUGCAUGGGUCAUGCGCCUCAUCAAGCGACACUCCUCUGUCAAUUAUCAUCCCUCUGCUCGCAAUCAUCUGAUCUUUUUACCAGAGGUUGAUAUGUCAGUUGAAGCCAUAUACUCUGACCCUGCCAAGAAGCCUCUUUGUCUUCAGAAUGUCGAGCACCAAAGCUUCACUCAACCCAUUGAAGGCGUCCAAGAUGUGAAAUGUAUCUAUCCAAUGGCUGGAAAUACUCGUCUGCCUCAUCGUGCGAAUAUUGAAGCCACUGAAAGCACCAUUGCCCAAAGGCCUCGGAAGCGCUCUCGCGUUCUCAAUGACCGAGAACUUCUUGUGACCCUUCAUCAGAAACAAGAUAAGCAUCAUUAUUGGCUCAAGAGACAGAUGCAAAGCCUCUUGGUGGACGUCAAUCGCAUUCGAAAUCUUGCCACCAAGAAUGCAUUUGUUGCUCACGAGACUUGCCGAAGAUCAUGGAAGAGUUUGACGCUGCUCAUUGCUGAAGCAGAUCUUCAAGACAAUGGCUUCACUGAAAGAUUCAAGUUUGACUCCACUCCUCCACGGACUGCAGUCCUACGUCGAAAUCCAUCCCUUGAAGACUCUUACUAUUCUUCCUCAGCGGCAACUGUGAAUGCCAGAGUGAUCGAUGAUGAAGAUGAUGCUACUUCACCGCCUCCUACUUUUGCACGCAUCGACACUGCACCAAGUACGUCUGCACCGCCAAGCAACAACGACAACCCUGCUACUUCACCUACUCAUGAGGACGAGUAG